GUGCCAGCAGCCGCGGUAAUACGUAGGGUGCGAGCGUUAAUCGGAAUUACUGGGCGUAAAGUGUGCGCAGGCGGCCGAGCAAGUCGAGUGUGAAAGCCCCGAGCUUAACUUGGGAACUGCGCUCGAAACUACUUGGCUAGAGUGUGGCAGAGGGAGGUGGAAUUCCACGUGUAGCGGUGAAAUGCGUAGAGAUGUGGAGGAACACCGAUGGCGAAGGCAGCCUCCUGGGCCAACACUGACGCUCAUGCACGAAAGCGUGGGGAGCAAACAGGAUUAGAUACCCGAGUAGUCC
rnacentral:rRNA from 1 species